AGAGUUUGAUCAUGGCUCAGAACGAACGCUGGCGGCGCGCCUAAUACAUGCAAGUCGAGCGAGAAGACGUAGCAAUACGUUUGUAAAGCGGCGAACGGGUGAGGAAUACAUGGGUAACCUACCCUCGAGUGGGGAAUAACUAGCCGAAAGGUUAGCUAAUACCGCAUACGAUUCCCGGACUUCGGUUCGGGAGGGAAAGCGAUACCGUGGGUAUCGCGCUCUUGGAUGGGCUCAUGUCCUAUCAGCUUGUUGGUGAGGUAAUGGCUCACCAAGGCUUCGACGGGUAGCUGGUCUGAGAGGACGAUCAGCCACACUGGCACUGCGACACGGGCCAGACUCCUACGGGAGGCAGCAGUAAGGAAUAUUGCGCAAUGGACGAAAGUCUGACGCAGCGACGCCGCGUGGGGGAUGAAGGUCUUCGGAUUGUAAACCCCUUUCGGGAGGGAAGAUGGAAUGGGGUAACCCAUUCGGACGGUACCUCCAGAAGCAGCCACGGCUAACUUCGUGCCAGCAGCCGCGGUAAUACGAAGGUGGCAAGCGUUGUUCGGAUUCACUGGGCGUACAGGGAGCGUAGGCGGUUGGGUAAGCCCUCCGUGAAAUCUCCGGGCCUAACCCGGAAAGUGCAGAGGGGACUGCUCAGCUAGAGGAUGGGAGAGGAGCGCGGAAUUCCCGGUGUAGCGGUGAAAUGCGUAGAGAUCGGGAGGAAGGCCGGUGGCGAA
rnacentral:rRNA from 1 species